UAUAUACUCCCUCUGUCCGGAAAUACUUGUCAAAAAUAAAUGAAAGGAGAUGUAUCUAGAUGUAUUUUAGUUCUAGAUACAUUCCUUUUUAUCCAUUUUGAUGACAAGUAUUUUCAGACGGAGCGAGUAUAUC
rfam:Triticum aestivum genome assembly, contig: Triticum_aestivum_CS42_TGACv1_scaffold_576778_7BL